UAGCCAGACUCCUACGGGAGGCAGCAGUGGGGAAUAUUGCACAAUGGGGGAAACCCUGAUGCAGCAACGCCGCGUGAGUGAAGAAGUAUUUCGGUAUGUAAAGCUCUAUCAGCAGGGAAGAAAAUGACGGUAUCUGAGUAAGAAGCCCCGGCUAACUACGUGCCAGCAGCCGCGGUAAUACGUAGGGGGCAAGCGUUAUCCGGAUUUACUGGGUGUAAAGGGAGCGUAGACGGCGAUACAAGUCUGAAGUGAAAGCCCGGGGCUCAACCCCGGGACUGCUUUGGAAACUGUUGAACUGGAGUACAGGAGAGGUAAGCGGAAUUCCUAGUGUAGCGGUGAAAUGCGUAGAUACUAGGAGGAACACCAGUGGCGAAGGCGGCGUACUGGACUGUAACUGACGUUGAGGCUCGAAAGCGUGGGGAGCAAACAGGAUUAGAUACCCCGGUACAA
rnacentral:rRNA from 1 species